rnacentral:lncRNA from 1 species
CUCAUAUCUAAAACACCAUAUAUAUAAAUAUUGAUAAAAGUUGCUGCAUCAGUAAUGAUUUAGCAGAAGUUGUAACCAACAUAUCAGAAUUCACAAAAUGUUGACUAGAAAAACAUAUUUUUUUUCUUUUUUACAUUUUACAUGUUAAUAAUUUGAGUGUUUGAAACACAUUUCAUUAUUGUUAUAGCACAAUUGUAGAUUUGUUUUAAAGGAUCAUAAAAACAAUUUAAAAUUCAACUGUAGAAAAUUUAGCCACAAUGGAAAUGAUCUUAACAAUAUUAUAAUAUCACACAGCAAAGAAAAGAAAUGAAUUCAGCAGUUUAUUUAUUCAUAUGACUUAUAGCUGAAGGUUAAACACGAACAGCUUUCUUACCGGUCAUUUAUAUACAAUAAAUGUUAGUUGAUAACAUUCAAACAAAAGAUUAUAAUUGCCAUAUUUCAUUAACAGAGUAUACAAUAUUAAUUAUAAAUUCAGAAUGUAUACAUAAAAGAAAGAGAAGACGAGAAUAAGAAGAAAGAUAGGAAACAUAUAUAAGAAUCAAAAUAGUAAUUCAACAUUUAGUCAUAAAAUUCUACAGGC